rnacentral:rRNA from 2 species
GCAAGUCGAGCGAACGGAUAGGGAGCUUGCUCCCUUGACGUUAGCGGCGAACGGGUGAGUAACACGUGGGCAACCUGCCUGUAAGACUGGGAUAACUCCGGGAAACCGGGGCUAAUACCGGAUAACUUUUUCCCUCGCAUGAGGGGAGGAUAAAAGGUGGCUUCGGCUACCACUUACAGAUGGGCCCGCGGCGCAUUAGCUAGUUGGUGAGGUAACGGCUCACCAAGGCGACGAUGCGUAGCCGACCUGAGAGGGUGAUCGGCCACACUGGGACUGAGACACGGCCCAGACUCCUACGGGAGGCAGCAGUAGGGAAUCUUCCGCAAUGGACGAAAGUCUGACGGAGCAACGCCGCGUGAGUGAUGAAGGUCUUCGGAUCGUAAAGCUCUGUUGUUAGGGAAGAACAAGUACCGUUCGAAUAGGGCGGUACCUUGACGGUACCUAACCAGAAAGCCACGGCUAACUACGUGCCAGCAGCCGCGGUAAUACGUAGGUGGCAAGCGUUGUCCGGAAUUAUUGGGCGUAAAGCGCGCGCAGGCGGUUUCUUAAGUCUGAUGUGAAAUCUCGCGGCUCAACCGCGAGCGGUCAUUGGAAACUGGGAAACUUGAGUGCAGAAGAGGAGAGUGGAAUUCCACGUGUAGCGGUGAAAUGCGUAGAGAUGUGGAGGAACACCAGUGGCGAAGGCGACUCUCUGGUCUGUAACUGACGCUGAGGCGC